rnacentral:tRNA from 2 species
GCCCAUGUAGCUCAGCAGGUAGAGCACUUUCUUGGUAAGAAAGGGGUCCUCGGUUCGAAUCCGAGCAUGGGCUC